GUUGGUGACCAGCGGAGGGAUCAUUACUGAGUUCUUACAACUCCAACCCUCUGUGAACCAUAC
rnacentral:rRNA from 1 species